GAAUCAGGAGGAGUCUGCUCGUUGAAUUCGAGUGGCUGGCCACCGCCUUCCAUUCGCCCCCCCCCUCCCCCUCCGCCCGUUGCUGCAGGAGUCCUCUCCCCCACUGACUGGAUACAUGAAGAAUUACCCGUAAACGACAUAUUCCCUGCAAUAAUGGGCCGCCAGCUAAUUACUGCGUUGACGUGUUGAUAUAAAGAUAUUUCAGAUAUCAAAUAUGAAUCAUGCAUUUGAUAUUUCUGGCAAAUUUGCUCGUGAGCAUUCUUGCGUCCUGGCUCCAUCCAUCCAUAGCGGCAAUUGUUUCUCAAGGAGGAGAGAAUGAGGUGGUGGAGAGGGACGCAGUGUCAUUAUUGUCGGAGCGAGAGGCAACUGCAGCAGCGGCCACAGGCAACACAAGUCACCGUGCGGCUGAGCAUGUGAUCACCUACCCCUCUCGGCUCAUCUACUACCUGAACGAGGACUCAGAGAGCACCUACCAUGACCUGGACACCCGGGCUAGGAGCCAGGUCACAGAGGGUCAUGACCAGGCGGUCCACCUUGCUCAAGCCAGUUUCCAGUUAGAGGCCUUUGGCUCCAGAUUUGUACUGGACCUAACGUUAAACAAUGACUUGUUGUCGUCGGAUUAUGUGGAGAUCCACUAUGAGGAGGGUAAACCUGUUCUAUCAAAGGGUGGUGAGCACUGUUACUACCAUGGCCAGGUGAGGGGGGAAGAUGACUCUAAUGUGGCCUUGUCUACCUGCAAUGGGCUACACGGAAUGUUUGAUGAUGGACUCUAUGUGUAUCUAAUUGAGCCCUUGCAACAGACUCACUCAAUUGAUACAGCUGCACGACCCCACUCUCUGCGCAGGAGGCCCACCCUCCAGAGGAACAAUGACCAAGAGGAACUGGUGGAGGAGGAGCAGCUGCUUUCAGAGCUGGAGGACAUGUCCUGGCUGAAGCGCAGGAAAAAGCGGGCUAUGCCUCGGAAUGUCUUUGAGGAAAUGAAGUAUUUGGAGAUUAUGAUUGUCAGUGACCACAAUAUGUAUAAGCGACACAAGGCCAAGCAGCACACCAGGAACUUUGCCAAGUCGGUGGUGAACUUUGUGGAUGCUAUCUUUAAGGAGCACCUGCACACACGGGUAGUUCUGGUUGCCGUGGAGAUAUGGACGGACAAGGACCACAUUCCCAUCAGUGUGAAGCCACUGGACAUGCUGAAAGAUUUCUCUAAGUACCGGGCGCAGAGCAUCAAGCAGCACGCUGACUCUGUGCACCUCUUCACCAAUGUGACCUUCCACUACCGCCGGAGCAGCGCAGCGUACUUCGGGGGCAUGUGCUCUGUGAGCCGUGGAGUAGGGGUAAAUGAGUAUGGCACCACGUGGACCAUGGCUUCGUCACUCUCCCAGAGCUUGGCACAGAACCUUGGCAUCCAGUGGGAUCCAGCCGCCAAGAGAAAGGAAUGUGGCUGUGCUGACUCCUGGGUAGGCUGCAUCAUGGAGGAUACUGGGGUCCAGCAUCCCCGGAUGUUCUCCAAAUGCAGCAUCUCAGACUAUAAGGAAUUCCUGCUGAAAGGUGGUGGAUCCUGUCUUUUUAACAGGCCAAACAAGCUGUUUGAAUCCACAGAGUGUGGGAAUGGAUACAUUGAGGUGGGAGAGGAGUGUGACUGCGGCGCUAGAUCUGAGUGCUACAAGGAGUGCUGCAAGAAGUGUUCCCUAGCUAAUGGUGCACAUUGUGCUGAUGGACCUUGCUGCAACAACACUUGUCUGUUCUACCCGCGAGGUUAUAGUUGUCGCUAUGCGGUGAAUGACUGUGACAUCUCAGAGACAUGCUCAGGAGACUCUGGCCAGUGCCCUCCUAACCUUCACAAACAAGAUGGCUACCACUGUCAAGUCGACCAGGGACGCUGCUAUGGUGGAGAGUGCAAGACCAGGGGGAACCAGUGCAAAUACCUCUGGGGUUCAAAGGCAGGAGGCUCCGAGAAGUUCUGCUAUGAGAAGCUCAAUACAGAGGGAACAGAGAAGGGAAACUGUGGGAAGGAUGGAGAGAAAUGGCUCCAGUGCAGCAAGCACGAUGUGUUCUGCGGGUCCCUGCUGUGCAGCAACAUAGGACGCAACCCCCGCAUCGGGAUGAUGAAGGGAGACAUCACCCCCACCUCCUUCAACCAUCAGGGCAGGCUGGUGGACUGCAGUGGUGGCCAUGUUCUUUUGGACGAUGAGACUGAUUUAGGCUAUGUGGAGGACGGGACGCCCUGUGGGCCGUCCAUGAUGUGCCUUGACCGCAAGUGUCUGCCCAUCCAGUCCCUCAACAUGAGCGCCUGCCCAAGUGGGCCCAACAGCCAGGUGUGCUCAGCCCACGGGGUGUGUAACAAUGAGGCGACGUGCACCUGUGACACGACAUGGGCGGGGACAGACUGCAGCAUGCCCGACCCCCCCAAGGAGCCUGCACCCGCAGAAGAUGAAGGACCAAAGGGUCCUAGUGCCACCAAUCUUAUAAUAGGCUCCAUCGCCGGAGCCAUCCUGGUAGCUGCCAUAGUGCUGGGGGGGACUGGAUGGGGCUUUAAGGUUCAAGGGUGAGAGUUUAAGCGGAAGUGGUGAGAGAGAAGCCAGGGCCAUAUUGUUGGCCGCAGCCUUUGUGCCAUGGCUGGCCACACCCACCUGGAUGGCCAGGCUCCGCCCUAGAGCAGAGCAGGACUCCUGGACCCGCCCACACCAGCUGCCAUUGCUGCCUGCUUCACAGACCUGGUACAGACACGGCGCAUUGAGCUGCAUGACCCACCACGCACAUCAAUAGUGCCACCUCCCACUGGCCUACUAUUGAAACAGAAAUGUGAAGAAGCGGCGGUACGACCCCAACGCCAGUGCCAUAUAAGGCCGGAGGAGAGGUCGAAGGGCACAGAGGGAUCCUCUGGACUGCACUUACAGCUGCUGAUUUUUGGCAUUAGAUUUACUUGAAAACGAAAUAGAGGACAAUUUAACAAAUUCCAUCUUAGUCAUGUAGAAAUGCAGCCUUCUUCAACCCCACCCACCUAACAACCCCAUCCUGAUCUCUAGAGCCACAGAACUCCUCUCCUUUUCCUUUCAUCGUUAGUGCCAGUGCACAGGCGUUCAGGCGGAACUCACACCAUUAUAUUCUCUCACCAGGCAUGAUUUCCCGCACAGAGCGUGCAGCUCGCUGGCUCUGGCAUGAGGGGCCCUCGCUAAAGGACUUUGCAUGGCUACCAAAGCUAUGAACGACACACAGCAAAUCAACAAACAAACAAAAAAAGAAGAGAGAAAUCACUACUGAAUCGUCAGAUGGAGGAGAAUAGCCUCAUUAAAAAAACAAACCCGGUGGUACCCUGAACAGGCUCCUCCUCCUUAGGUCACCACAAUGAGAGGAAGAGGACUGCAUGCUAGAACCCAAAUGGGAAAUGCAGACCACAUUCAAUAAAUUGAAGCAUAUAUCGGGCAACAUUGUACAUAAAAGAGGAGAACGAGUUCAGAUUCUGAAUUAUAACAUAUCAUUUUACACUGACACACUCUGCUUCUGUUUUAUCUUUAAGCAUGUUGUAUAGCGGGUGUUUUUGGCAAUGUUAAUGAAAAACAGUAACGCAAUUAUGAUUUGGGCCAAAAUGCUAUGGAUAACCAGACAAUGUCAUAGUCUGUCUAUUAGGUGUUACCACGCGCUACAUUCUGUAUUUAUCCAAUAUAGAGGUCAAGGGUCAGGUUCAGUAUACACAGUACAGAUGAGAGGUCAGAUUUAGGGGUCUACAUGUGUCUUCUCUAGAGGUCAGGGGAACAGCGAUGGUGACAGAAAGAAUGAUCGCGGAUUAUCCAGUCUAUGACUGAUGUCAUGGGGUUCCUUAAGUACUUCCAGAAGUGACUCAAAAGCCAAAGAAUCAAUCACGUGGAAUGUUUGGAUGUUGUCGCACACAGAGCACUUUCCCCUUUGUCUGCAGUCUGUGUGCCUCUCUCUCCCAGUGCUGCAGACAGGCAUGCAGUGUGUCCCUGCAGAUUAGUCCCAACUGUGUUACCAGGUGGUGUCACUAUUUAACAGUCCUCAUCAACACCCACUAUACUGGCUAGCUUGGCGCUCUCCAUAAACUCUUGCUAGAAAUCAAGUUCAGUUCUACUGGUACGCUGCAUGCAUUCACACUAUAGUGGGCUUAUAAUUCUAUAAGGGAGUCCCAAAAAUCUGCAAGCUAAAAUACGCUACAAAAGAUAGGUGCAUGUCAACAAACAAAACAUUUAACUUUUAUUUCUAUGCAAAGAAAGAUAUUGCACAAACUUAUGGGUUAUUAAAUGUAAUAAUGAUAUCAGUAUAAACAUGGAACAAAAACCUUUGCGAAUCAGACAACCUUUUGUAUUCGGCCACUCCCACAUCUCGUUUCAUUUAGCUUCAAAGUACUGAACUAAAGAAUGGAAAAGCAUAAUUAAAUUCAUACAUCCAAGUGAAAAGAACAUCCUUUUACGUUUGUGGAAUCAAAGGCAAAUGUUAUUUUUGUGUGUUUUUCCACCAAUCUAAGAUGACAUUUCUAAUCUGACAUACUGUAUGUGCCGAGGCUUCAACAGGUUACUUUUCCAGGACUUUAGUUUCCAGCCCAGCUGACAGACAGACAGUUGGUGUGUUCCAGGUGCUGCCAUAGCACUGGCAUUGUGUAAACCUCCAUAUUAGUCAUCAUCUCGUGUCCCUAUCAACACUGCAUCAUGUACAGUUGGACCGACGAAUAAACUACUGAAGUAUUUUA